rnacentral:rRNA from 1 species
UUCUGGUUGAUCCUGCCGGACCUGACUGCUAUCGGAUUGAUACUAAGCCAUGCGAGUCUUUGCAGUAAUGCAAGGCGGACUGCUCAGUAACACGUAGUCAACUUAACCUAUGGAUGGGUAUAACCUCGGGAAACUGAGAAUAAUUCCCAAUAGAUCAUUUAUCCUGGAAUGGUUAUUGAUUGAAAUGAUUCGUCGCCAUAGGAUAGGACUGCGGCCUAUCAGCUUGUUGGUGAGGUAAAGGCCCACCAAGGCUAUUACAGGUACGGGCUCUGAGAGAAGAAGCCCGGAGAUGGGUACUGAGACACGGACCCAGGCCCUAUGGGGCGCAGCAGGCGAGAAAACUUUGCAAUGUGCGAAAGCACGACAAGGUUAAUCCGAGUGAUUUCUGCUAAAGAAAUCUUUUGCCAGUUCUAAAAAUACUGGUGAAUAAGGGGUGGGCAAGUUCUGGUGCCAGCAGCCGCGGUAAU